rnacentral:pre_miRNA from 1 species
UUUCUACUCCCUCCGUCCGAAAAUACUUGUCAUCAAAAUGGAUAAAAAGAGAUGUAUCUAAAACUAAAAUACGUCUAGAUACAUUUCCUUUUAUCCAUUUUGAUGACAAGUAUUUCCGGACGGAGGGAUUAUUUG